rnacentral:rRNA from 1 species
GACGAACGCUGGCGGCGUGCUUAACACAUGCAAGUCGAACGAACAGGCCCUGCUUUUGUGGGGUGCUCGAUUGGCGAACGGGUGAGUAACACGUGAGUAACCUGCCCUUGACUUUGGGGUAACUUCAGGAAACUGGGGCUAAUACCGGAUAGGAGCUCCUGCUGCAUGGUGGGGGUUGGAAAGUUUCGGCGGUUGGGGAUGGACUCGCGGCUUAUCAGCUUGUUGGUGUGGUAGUGGCUUACCAAGGCUUUGACGGGUAGCCGGCCUGAGAGGGUGACCGGCCACAUGGGGCCUGCGAGACGGCGCAGACGGCUACGGGAGGCAGAAGGGGGGAAUAUUGCAGAACGGGCGGGAGCCAGAUGCAGCAACGCCGCGUGCGUGAUGAUGGCCUUCGGGUUGUAAACCGCUUUCGACUGUGACGAAGCGUGAGUGACGGUAAUGGGUAAAGAAGCACCGGCUAACUACGUG